rnacentral:rRNA from 1 species
GCCAACGUUCAUAUCACGUUGAAUACACCAGUUCUCGUCCGAUCACUGAAGUUAAGCAACGUUGAGCGUGGAUAGUACUUGGAUGGGUGACCGCUUGGGAACACCACGUAACGUUGGCAUUA